rnacentral:rRNA from 1 species
CAGCAGCCGCGGUAAUACGUAGGGUGCGAGCGUUAAUCGGAAUUACUGGGCGUAAAGCGUGCGCAGGCGGUUGUGUAAGACAGGUGUGAAAUCCCCGGGCUUAACCUGGGAACUGCGCUUGUGACUGCACAGCUAGAGUAUGGCAGAGGGGGGUGGAAUUCCACGUGUAGCAGUGAAAUGCGUAGAGAUGUGGAGGAACACCGACGGCGAAGGCAGCCCCCUGGGCCAAUACUGACGCUCAUGCACGAAAGCGUGGGGAGCAAACAGGAUUAGAUACCCCCGUAGUCCCUGUCUCUUAUAC